rnacentral:rRNA from 1 species
GACGAACGCUGGCGGCGUGCUUAACACAUGCAAGUCGAACGGAAAGACCCUGCUUUUGUGGGAUGCUCGAGUGGCGAACGAGUAAGUAACACGUGAGUAACCUGCCCUUGACUUUGGGAUAACUUCAGGAAACUGGGGCUAAUACCGGAUAGGAGCUCCUGCUGCAUGGUGGGGGUUGGAAAGUUUCGGCGGUUGGGGAUGGACUCGCGGCUUAUCAGCUUGUUGGUGGGGUAGUGGCUUACCAAGGCUUUGACGGGUAGCCGGCCUGAGAGGGUGACCGGCCACAUUGGGACUGAGAUACGGCCCAGACUCCUACGGGAGGCAGCAGUGGGGAAUAUUGCACAAUGGGCGGAAGCGUGAUGCAGCAACGCCGCGUGCGGGAUGACGGCCUUCGGGUUGUAAACCGCUUUCGCCUGUGACGAAGCGUGAGUGACGGUAAUGGGUAAAGAAGCACCGGCUAACUACGUG